UAUAUAGUAGUGGUGCAUAUAUAGUAGUAGUCUUUGUAGUGUGUGCAGAUAUGUAGUAGUAGUGUAGUUUCUUGGUUUCCGUGUGUAGUGUAUAUAGUAUAUGUCUCUCUGUAGUUGUAGUUAUGUAGGAUAGUGUGCUUUAUAUAGUAUAGUUGUAGUGUAGUGCAUGUAGAAUAGUGGUGUUUGUGUUGUGUGUGUGGGGGAUUGUGGGGGAGGUUGAUUAGGAGUGGGGGAUUGUGGGUGGUUUGGGUAGAUUUAGGAUUUGACUUCUUCUUCUU
rnacentral:lncRNA from 1 species